rnacentral:rRNA from 1 species
AAUAUUGGACAAUGGGGGCAACCUUGUUCAACCAAUGCCGCGUGUUUGAAGAAGGUCUUCGGAUUUUAACGCACUUUAAGUUGGGAGGAAGGGCUUUGGGUUAAUACCUGGAGGUUUUGCCGUUACCAACAGAUAAACAACCGCCUACCUCUUUCCAAGCAGCCGCGGUAAUACAGAGGGUGCAAGCGUUAAUCGGAAUUACUGGGCGUAAAGCGCGCGUAGGUGGUUCAGUAAGAUGGGUGUGAAAUCCCCGGGCUUAACCUGGGAACUGCUUUCAUAACUGCUGAGCUAGAGUACGGUAGAGGGUAGUGGAAUUUCCUGUGUAGCGGUGAAAUGCGUAGAUAUAGGAAGGAACACCAGUGGCGAAGGCGACUACCUGGACUGAUACUGACACUGAGGUGCGAAAGCGUGGGGAGCAAACAG